rnacentral:rRNA from 1 species
AACUUUACACUGCGGGAAACCGCGAUAAGGGGACCCCGAGUGCCAGCACCUAGUGUUGGCUGUCCUACUGUCUAAAUAACAGUGGUUAGCAAGGGCCGGGCAAGACCGGUGCCAGCCGCCGCGGUAACACCGGCGGCCCGAGUGGUAACCGUCAUUAUUGGGUUUAAAGGGUCCGUAGCCGGCUUAUUAAGUCUUUUGGGAAAUCUGGCGACUCAAUCGUCAGGCGUCCAAGAGAUACUGAUAGGCUUGGGACCGGGAGAGGUGGGAGGUACUCCAGGGGUAGGGGUGAAAUCUCGUAAUCCUUGGGGGACCACCGGUGGCGAAGGCAUCCCACCAGAACGGGUCCGACGGUGAGGGACGAAAGCUGGGGGCACGAACCGGAUUAGAUACCCGGGUAGUCCCAGCUGUAAACGAUGCUCGCUAGGUGUCAGGUGCGGUGCGACCGCAUCUGGUGCCGCAGUGAAAACUUGAAGCGAGUCACCUGGGAAGUACGGUCGCAAGGCUGAAACUUAAAGGAAUUGGCGGGGGAGCACUACAACGGGUGGAGCCUGCGGUUC